GGCAUUACUUUGCGAAUGCACAGACUCUUAUCUCCGUCGUGGACAGCAACGACCGAGAGCGUGUCGAUGAGACGAGACGAGAGAGGACUUGAUGCGCAUCCGAAAGAGCUCCGAGUUCUACUUUUAUUUGCCAACAAAAAGGUGAGACGAAGCGAAGGAUCUGCCAAAUGCAAUGAAUGCUGUUGAAAUUACGGUCUACAACUGGUACACGGAAACGAUUAUAAGAGAACCCAAACCAACUGCAAAAAACACACUGCGUGAAUGCUCUACACCUUUAAGUUCUCCAAAAAGUUUAUUAAAAACGCUCUUGUGCUAAUCAAGUUUAAAAAUGUUCAAACUUGGAGCGCUUUAUGAGCGUUAUUAA